AUUGAACGCUGGCGGCAUGCCUUACACAUGCAAGUCGAACGGUAACAGGUCUUCGGACGCUGACGAGUGGCGAACGGGUGAGUAAUACAUCGGAACGUGCCCGAUCGUGGGGGAUAACGAGGCGAAAGCUUUGCUAAUACCGCAUACGAUCUACGGAUGAAAGCGGGGGAUCUUCGGACCUCGCGCGGACGGAGCGGCCGAUGGCAGAUUAGGUAGGUGGUGGGAUAAAAGCUGACCAAGCCGACGAUCUGUAGCUGGUCUGAGAGGAUGAUCAGCCACACUGGGACUGAGACACGGCCCAGACUCCUACGGGAGGCAGCAGUGGGGAAUUUCGGACAAUGGGCGAAAGCCUGAUCCAGCCAUGCCGCGUGCAGGAUGAAGGCCUUCGGGUUGUAAACUGCUUUUGUACGGAACGAAAAGCCUCUUUCUAAUAAAGAGGGGUCAUGACGGUACCGUAAGAAUAAGCACCGGCUAACUACGUGCCAGCCGCCGCGGUAAAAC
rnacentral:rRNA from 1 species